rnacentral:rRNA from 1 species
UACGUAGGGGGCAAGCGUUGUCCGGAUUUAUUGGGCGUAAAGCGCGUGUAGGCGGCCAGGUAGGUCGGUUGUGAAAAUUGGAGGCUCAACCUCCAGACGUCGAUCGAAACCCUCUGGCUAGAGUCCGGAAGAGGAGAAUGGAAUUCCUGGUGUAGCGGUGAAAUGCGCAGAUAUCAGGAAGAACACCGAUGGCGAAGGCAGUUCUCUGGGACGGUACUGACGCUGAGACGCGAAAGCGUGGGGAGCGAACAGGAUUAGAUACCCUGGUAGUCCACGCCGUAAACGAUGGGUGCUAGGUGUGGGAGGUGUCGACUCCUCCCGUGCCGCAGCUAACGCAUUAAGCACCCCGCCUGGGGAGUACGGCCGCAAGGCUAAA